UGUUGGAAGUGACAGGUGGAUCAGUACACCAUGUGAGGAGACAUGUUGGAAGGUGACAGGUGGGUCAGUACACCAUGUGAGGAGAGAUUUUGGAAGGUGACAGGUGGAUCAGUACACCAUGUGAGGAGAGAUGUUGGAAGGUGACAGGUGGGUCAGUACACCAUGUGAGGAGAGAUGUUGGAAGUGGACAGGUGGGUCAGUACACCCAUGUGAGGAGAGAUGUUGGAAGGUGACAGGUGGGUCAGUACACCAUGUGAGGAGAGAUGUUGGAAGGUGACCGGUGGGUCAGUACACCAUGUGAGGAGAGAUGUUGGAAGGUGACAGGUGGGUCAGUACACCAUGUGAGUAGAGAUGUUGGAAGGUGACAGGUGGGUCAGUACACCAUGUGAGUAGAGAUGUUGGAAGGUGACAGGUGGGUCAGUACACCAUGUGAGUAGAGAUGUUGGAAGGUGACAGGUGGGUCAGUACACCAUGUGAGUAGAGAUGUUGGAAGGGGACAGGUGGGUCAGUACACCAUGUGAGUAGAGAUGUUGGAAGGUGACAGGUGGGUCAGGACUUAAUAAUAUUACUGGCUCAUCUAUUUGUUAUGGACUAUCUUCUGCCAGUAUUUUGUAUGGCUAAUUGAUAAGUGGUUACAGUGUAUUGUGUAAUUUAAUAUAAUUAUUUGAAACUACAUAAAAGUAAAAGUUGUUAGUCAUCGCUCACCUGAGUGUAAAGUAAUGCUUAACAAACUUUAUUUUGGAUAAUGUUGCAUUAAGCUGUAUCAAGUUUAUAGGAAAAUACAAAAUAUUACUUCCUAAAUAUACAUUAUGGUAAGGUGGAGAGGAGGGCAGACGAGGAAGAUCAAGUUACAGAGGGCAUUAUGUGGGAAAGUUAUCUAGCAGUAGUGUACUUCAGGGCUGCUAUGCUGAAGGUACCUUGAUGCUGCUCGAGUCAAGGUGCAAAGUUAGCAAUCUAAAUGUAGUUUAUGCUUCAGUGAUUUUGCUCAAUUUGUGGCUUACUUUAAGCCAAUUCUAUUAUUCCAUUCAACCAAAUUCUUAGCUAUUUUGUUAGUAUAAUGAAGAGAAUCCAUAGUUUGUUGAUUAACCCCUUCAGGGUCCAAGGCCAAAAUCUGAAGUGGUGCCCCAGUGUCCAAGAAUUUAAAAAAGAAAAUUAUUUUUUCUUUUGAAAUGGUAGAGAAUCUUUUUGUGAAGGUAAUAAAACAAAAAGUAUGAAAUUUGAUGGAAAAUUGACGAAAUUAUGCUCUCACAAAUUUUAAUGUGUCAGCGAUUUUGCCGACUGACUGCCAUUUUAGGCCAAUUACAUUAUUCCAGUCGACCAAAUUCUUAGCUAUUUCACUAGUAUUACUUCCAUUCUAUUGAUUGAGCACAAGAAAUUGCCAAGUCAACUGUUUCAACUACAAAAUAAAGUGAUCGGAAAUUGGCAAUUUGGCCAAUUUAACACAAAUUUCAAAAUAUUCCAAUUUCAAAAUAGGGUCCAGAAUAAACAAUGCAGACAUUCCUGGCACUAAACUAACAUUUCCUCUGUUCAUUAGUUAUGUUUUGAGGCUUUACAAAUAAAUUCCAUUUUGAUUUUUUAUUCACAUAAUGAAUUUUUAUUCACACCAAAAAAUAGAAUAUUUACUGUUAUGCAAUAUUGUAAUAAUUGUAUAAAUAUCAUCAUCACAUUUGUGAAUGUAUAUUAGACCCACCAGCUGGCGUGUAUUAGACAUGUGAGGUCGUUUGUUUACUCUUGAACAUCGGCAAAAAUUUAACAUUUCUGCUACUUUGAGCUCAGUUUCAAGCCAUUUCUAGUUCUAAAACCAAUCAAAAUCAUCUCUAUUUCUGUAAUAUGUCUUUCAUUCUAUCAAAUGAGACCAAGAAAUUGCAAAUACAACUAUAAAAAACAUACGAAAAAACACUGCAAAGUCGCUGUUUUAAUCGAAAAUCAUGGUCUCAGUUUUUUUCUCUCAUUAUACACAGUGUGCUGCAGGAUUUGUUUUAUGUGGUGCACACAUACCACAUAGAUGUAUUCUCUCAUAUCUAGGCCCAAAUGUACCACUCACAGUUUAUCAGAGUGAACUGAGCUCAUGGCGUAGAUCUACGGUUUGGACCCUGAACGUAAAGCCGUAGAUCUACGGGACGGACCCUGAAAGGGUUAAGAGGAGGUGCGGGAUUACCAAAACUAUUAACCAGAGGGCUGAGGAGGGGUUGCUGAGCUGGUUUGGACAUGUAGAGAGAAUGGAACAGAAUAGAAUGACUUAGAGAGUGUAUAAAUCUGUAGUGGAGGGAAAAUGGGGUAAGGGGUCAGCCUAGGAAAGGCUGGGAGGGGGUAAAGGAGGCUUUGUGUAUGAGGGGCUUGGACUUCCAGCAAGCAUGUGUGAGCAAGUUAGAUAAGAGCGAAUGGAGAGAAAUGGUUUUUAGGACUUGACGUGCUGUUGAGUGUAAGCAAGGUAACAUUUAUGAAGGGGUUCAGGGAAACCGGCAGGCCGGACUUGAGUCCUGGAGAUGGGAAGUACAUUGCCACUUGCACUCUGAAGGAGGGGUGUUAAUGUUGCAGUUUUAUAACUGUAAUGAAAGCACACCUCUGGCAAAACAGUGAUGGAGUGAAUGAUGGUUAAAGUUUUUCUUUUUUCGGGCCACCCUGCCUUGUUGGGAAUCAGCCAAUAUGUUAAUAAAAAAAUAAAUUUGUUAGUAUGCCUUCUGUUUUGUCGGUUGCCUUGUAAAGUGCACAGAAAUCAAUAAUUGGCCAAUUUUACACAAUAUUAAAAGAUACCAAUUAAAAAGCAGUUCAUAAUCAAUGUUGACAUUCCUGACACAAACAUUUCCUGUGUUCAACAGUCACAUUCCCAGGCCUCUCUUAUAUUACACUUGCCUUCCAUUUUGAAUUCUUAUUCAUGCAAAAAUAGAUGAUUUACUUUAUUUCUGGAAUAAAAUAUAACCAGGAAAAAUUGGUCAUGGUUUACAGUGUCCCAAAAAUUAAAUCAAACCUAUUAAAAACCAAUGAAACAGACUUACCCACUCUCUGGAAUAUCAACAAAAAUCUAAGAUUUUUAUUUUGAGAUCAGUUUCAUGCUACUUCUAGUCCUGAAACCAAUUAAAACCAUCUCUGUUUCAGUAGUAUGUCUUCCAUUCUAUCAAAUGAUACUAAAAAAACAGCCAGUGAAACUAUAAAAAAAAUUCAAGAAAACACCUCAGAAUUAAACCAUACCCCCGGCCGGGAUUGAACCCGCGGUCAUAGAGUCUCAAAUAAUUCACCUCAGAAUUAUUUUAAACCAUAUGCACAGUUGCAGUUUUUUCCCAUUAUGCACAGCAUGGGGCAGAAUUUUUUUUAUUCUGUGUACACUCUUUAUCUAGACCAAAAUUUACCACCCACAGCUUAUUUAAGUGACUUAGAACUAUGUGAUAGACCCUGACCUCAUGAUGUAGUUCUACUUGAUGGAUCCUGACCUCAUGACGUAGUUCUACAUGAUGGAUCCUGACCUCAUGACAUAGUUCUGCAUGAUGGACCCUGACCUCAUAACGUAGUUCUACAUGACGGACCCUGACGUCACGACAUAGGUCUACAUGAUGGAUCCUGACCUCAUAACAUAGUUCUACGUGAUGGAUCCUGACCUCGUGACGUAGUUCUACAUGAUGAACAAUGAAAGGGUUAAGUCGCAAACUAAACAAUUUAUUUAAUAAGGCUCACUGUGUGGGUGAAACAUCAUUAACCCUUUGAGGGUCGACAGGCCCUCUCCGAAACUUGUUCUCAGGGUCGGCCAAAUUAAAAAAAAAAAAAAAUUAUUUUCUCUUAUGAAAAGAUAGAGAAUCUUUUCCC